GACGUAGUUUGAUCCGUGGCUCGAGGACGAACGCUGGCGGCGUGCUUAACACAUGCAAGUCGAACGGGGUAGAGAGCUUCGGUUUCUACUUAGUGGCGAACGGGUGAGUAACGCGUGAGGAACCUGCCUCUCAGUGGGGGACAACAGUUGGAAACGACUGCUAAUACCGCAUAACACAGCGAAACCGCAUGGUUUUGCUGUCAAAGCUUUAUGUGCUGAGAGAUGGCCUCGCGUCUGAUUAGCUAGUUGCGGGUAACGGCCCACCAAGGCGACGAUCAGUAGCCGGUCUGAGAGGAUGAACGGCCACAUUGGGACUGAGAUACGGCCCAGACUCCUACGGGAGGCAGCAGUGGGGAAUAUUGGGCAAUGGGGGAAACCCUGACCCAGCAACGCCGCGUGAAGGAAGAAGGCCUUCGGGUUGUAAACUUCUUUUAGCAGGGACGAAGGACGUGACGGUACCUGCAGAAAAAGCAACGGCUAACUACGUG
rnacentral:rRNA from 1 species